CGGAACGUGCCUAGUAGUGGGGGAUAACUACUCGAAAGAGUAGCUAAUACCGCAUGAGAUCUAAGGAUGAAAGCAGGGGACCUUCGGGCCUUGCGCUACUAGAGCGGCUGAUGGCAGAUUAGGUAGUUGGUGGGAUAAAAGCUUACCAAGCCGACGAUCUGUAGCUGGUCUGAGAGGACGACCAGCCACACUGGGACUGAGACACGGCCCAGACUCCUACGGGAGGCAGCAGUGGGGAAUUUUGGACAAUGGGCGAAAGCCUGAUCCAGCAAUGCCGCGUGUAGGAUGAAGGCCCUCGGGUUGUAAACUACUUUUGUACGGAACGAAAAGCUCUCUUCUAAUAAAGGAGAGUGAUGACUGUACCGUAAGAAUAAGCACCGGCUAACUACGUGCCAGCAGCCGCGGUAAUACGUAGGGUGCGAGCGUUAAUCGGAAUUACUGGGCGUAAAGCGUGCGCAGGCGGUUAUGUAAGACAGAGGUGAAAUCCCCGGGCUCAACCUGGGAACGGCCUUUGUGACUGCAUAGCUAGAGUACGGUAGAGGGGGAUGGAAUUCCGCGU
rnacentral:rRNA from 1 species